CGACGCAUGUCAGGAGGUUGUCAGACUCUUGCUUUAUGGGCAUUUUCACCUACUACGUCCCUCUGCCACUUCAGGAUCCCUUCCCAUAACCUGUCUACCAUGGCCUUGCUUAACUACAGAGGUGAGUCCCAGUCCUGCUUUCAAGGGCUGCUGCCUGCUCUCUGUGCCUCUGCUCUGGCCCAGUCUUAGUCACUUUCUCAUCACAGGGACAAAAUAUCUGACACUCUCAAUAUAAAGGAGG
rnacentral:lncRNA from 1 species